rnacentral:rRNA from 1 species
AGUGAACGCUGGCGGCAGGCCUAACACAUGCAAGUCGAACGGCAGCACAGGAGAGCUUGCUCUCUGGGUGGCGAGUGGCGGACGGGUGAGGAUAGCGUCGGAAUCUGCCUAUUUGUGGGGGAUAACCUCGGGAAACCGGGACUAAUACCGCAUACGACCUACGGGUGAAAGCGGAGGACCUUCGGGCUUCGCGCAGAUAGAUGAGCCGACGUCGGAUUAGCUAGUUGGCGGGGUAAUGGCCCACCAAGGCGACGAUCCGUAGCUGGUCUGAGGGGAUGAUCAGCCACCCUGGAACUGAGACACGGUCCAGACUCCUACGGGAGGCAGCAGUGGGGAAUAUUGGACAAUGGGCGCAAGCCUGAUCCAGCCAUGCCGUGUGGGUGAAGAAGGCCUUCGGGUUGUAAAGCCCUUUUGUUGGGAAAGAAAAGCAGCCGGUUAAUACCCGGUUGCCAUGACGGUACCCAAAGAAUAGGCACCGGCUAACUUCGUGCCAGCCGCCGCCGUAA